CCGGUUGAUCCUGCCAGUAGUCAUAUGCUUAUCCCACAGAUUAAGCCUUGCAUGUCUAAGUACAUACCUUAAAACGGUGAAAAUGCGAAUGGCUCAUUAAAUCAGCUAUGGUUCCUUAGAUCAUAUAUACCACGUGGAUAACUGUAGUAUUCCUAUAGCUAAUACAUGCAAUCAUGCCCUGACCCGCUAGAGAACGGGUGCAUUUAUUAGAACACAGCCAACCGGGGGUAUUUUCAGCUUUGUUGAAUUGUGUGAUGACUCUAGAUAACUGUAGUGAUCGCAGUUGGCCCUCUGUCGGUGACGGAUCUUUCAAAUGUCUGCCCCAUCAACUUAUUGGUAGGUGAUCUGCCUACCAUGAUAAUAACGGGUGACGGGGAAUUAGGGUUCGAUUCCUGAGACGGAGCCUGAGAAAUGGCUACCAUACCCAAGGACGGUAGCUCCUCUGCUUUUUGAGGCUCUUCACGAUUUAUUUGGUACCCGUUAGACAACAGAAGACGAUUCUUCAGAACCAACUUCCUGGCUUGUUUGGACCAGGCAUAGUCUAAUAUCGAAAUUUUAAUGGCUUUUAUU
rnacentral:ncRNA from 1 species